rnacentral:rRNA from 1 species
GACAGAGGGUGGCAAACGUUUGUUCGGAAUUACUGGGCGUAAAGCGCGUGUAGGCUGCUCUGCAAGUCGGAUGUGAAAGCCCUGGGCUCAACCUAGGAAGUGCACUCGAAACUGCAGAGCUUGAGUCUGGAGAGGAAGGCGGAAUUCUCGGUGUAGAGGUGAAAUUCGUAGAUAUCGAGAGGAACACCGGUGGCGAAGGCGGCCUUCUGGACAGUGACUGACGCUGAGACGACGAAGCGUGGGGAGCAAACAGG